GGGCCUGUGGCCUAGUCUGGCAAAGGCGCUACUCUGAUAAGGUAGAGAUCCGCAGUUCAAAUCUGCGCAGGCCCA
rnacentral:tRNA from 1 species